AGUGAACGCUGGCGGUAGGCCUAACACAUGCAAGUCGAACGGCAGCACAGUAAGAGCUUGCUCUUACGGGUGGCGAGUGGCGGACGGGUGCGGAAUACAUCGGAAUCUACUUUUUCGUGGGGGAUAACGUAGGGAAACUUACGCUAAUACCGCAUACGACCUACGGGUGAAAGCAGGGGAUCUUCGGACCUUGCGCGAUUGAAUGAGCCGAUGUCGGAUUAGCUAGUUGGCGGGGUAAAGGCCCACCAAGGCGACGAUCCGUAGCUGGUCUGAGAGGAUGAUCAGCCACACUGGAACUGAGACACGGUCCAGACUCCUACGGGAGGCAGCGGUGGGGAAUAUUGGACAAUGGGCGCAAGCCUGAUCCAGCCAUACCGCGUGGGUGAAGAAGGCCUUCGGGUUGUAAAGCCCUUUUGUUGGGAAAGAAAAGCAGCAGGUUAAUACCCCGCUGUUCUGACGGUACCCAAAGAAUAAGCAACGGCUAACUUCGUG
rnacentral:rRNA from 1 species